GCCCAGACUCCUACGGGAGGCAGCAGUGGGGAAUAUUGCACAAUGGGGGAAACCCUGAUGCAGCGACGCCGCGUGGGCGAAGAAGUAUUUCGGUAUGUAAAGCUCUAUCAGCAGGGAAGAAAAAAUGACGGUACCUGACUAAGAAGCACCGGCUAAAUACGUGCCAGCAGCCGCGGUAAUACGUAUGGUGCAAGCGUUAUCCGGAUUUACUGGGUGUAAAGGGAGCGCAGGCGGUACGGCAAGUCUGAUGUGAAAGCCCGGGGCUCAACCCCGGUACUGCAUUGGAAACUGUCGGACUAGAGUGUCGGAGGGGUAAGUGGAAUUCCUAGUGUAGCGGUGAAAUGCGUAGAUAUUAGGAGGAACACCAGUGGCGAAGGCGGCCUGCUGGGCUUUUACUGACGCUGAGGCUCGAAAGUGUGGGGAGCAAACAGGAUUAGAUACCCGAGUA
rnacentral:rRNA from 1 species